rnacentral:rRNA from 1 species
AUUGAACGCUGGCGGCAGGCCUAACACAUGCAAGUCGAGCGGCACCGAAAGUAGCUUGCUACUUUGCCGGCGAGCGGCGGACGGGUGAGUAAUGUCUGGGAAACUGCCUGAUGGAGGGGGAUAACUACUGGAAACGGUAGCUAAUACCGCAUGACCUCGAAAGAGCAAAGUGGGGGAUCUUCGGACCUCACGCCAUCGGAUGUGCCCAGAUGGGAUUAGCUAGUAGGUGAGGUAAUGGCUCACCUAGGCGACGAUCCCUAGCUGGUCUGAGAGGAUGACCAGCCACACUGGAACUGAGACACGGUCCAGACUCCUACGGGAGGCAGCAGUGGGGAAUAUUGCACAAUGGGCGCAAGCCUGAUGCAGCCAUGCCGCGUGUGUGAAGAAGGCCUUAGGGUUGUAAAGCACUUUCAGCGAGGAGGAAGGCACCAUACUUAAUACGUGUGGUGAUUGACGUUACUCGCGGAAGAAGCACCGGCUAACUCCGUGCCAGCAGCCGCGGUAAUACGGAGGGUGCAAGCGUUAAUCGGAAUUACUGGGCGUAAAGCGCACGCAGGCGGUUUGUUAAGUCAGAUGUGAAAUCCCCGCGCUUAACGUGGGAACUGCAUUUGAAACUGGCAAGCUAGAGUCUUGUAGAGGGGGGUAGAAUUCCAGGUGUAGCGGUGAAAUGCGUAGAGAUCUGGAGGAAUACCGGUGGCGAAGGCGGCCCCCUGGACAAAGACUGACGCUCAUGCACGAAAGCGUGGGGAGCAAACAGG